UACAGCGGGUAGUCGCUGUUCCAUGUAAAUGGGGCAGAGGAAAGUCGAGACACGCACACGGUUUUUGGCCUUGGGUCGGAGAUCGUGUAAAUUGGUGCCCGGCGCAAGCCGGGGCAGGGUGACCUGACGACGGUAAAAGCAACUCACCGAGUUGCGAGUAGCCAUAAAGUGCCACAGAAACAAUGUCACCGGGUGACCGGUGAGUGCAAGGGUAAACUCCACCGGCGUGCAACCCAAAUAGGCAGGGGCGUUUGCCGCCUGCGGGUAGGGGCACCUCGCUUGGCGAGGAAGGAGAACUUUCUCCUUAGAUAGAUGACUACUAGAACAGAAUCUCGCUUACGGCU
rnacentral:RNase_P_RNA from 2 species